rnacentral:rRNA from 1 species
AGCUGAAGUCAGCGUUUGGAAUUCAGCUUGGCGUCCGGAUCGGUGCUGUUUGCGGUGACCCUUAAAGGGGAGGCUGCGGCAGUGCUCGGUUUGGCUGCUAAGUGCACUUUCUGAGCGUUAAAACUGCGACCGAUGAUUAGGUUGGACUGUCACUCGGAGAAGGUAGUGGCUGGGUCGCAAGGCCCGGUCAUGUUAUAGCUCCGGGUACGGUAGUCUCCAGCUGAACAUUGGGACCAGCGGCUUGUCACAACAUUGGUGGUAGUUUCCUGAGUUCUGACUUUGCAUUUACUAAUCAAAGUGAAUCAUAGUCACGGAAUUUGAGUGCUGCUACUGAGCGGUGAGCCAAUAGUCUGCAGUGUGCGAGUAGGCCAUCUACCUGACCCGUCUUGAAACACGGACCAAGGAGUUUAGUAUAUGCGCAAGUCAAUGGGCGUUACGAAACCCUACGGCGUAAUGAAAGUAAAGGUGAGCCUCGUGCUUGCUUUCAUGAGAUCCCGAGACUACGGUCAAGGGCGCAUCAUGGGCCUGUGCUUACUUCCUCGCGAAGAGUGCAGCGCUUGAGCGCAUAUACUGAGACCCGAAAGAUGGUGACCUAUGCUUGUUCAGGCUGAAGCCAGUGGAAACUCUGGUGGAGGGCCGUAGCAGUUCUGACGUGCAAAUCGAUUGUCAGAAAUGAGUAUAGGGGCGAAAGACUAAUCGAACCAUCUAGUAGCUGGUUCCCUCCGAAGUUUCCCUCAGGAUAGCUGGUACUCGCCAUACUAGUUUGAUCCGGUAAAGCGAAUGAUUAGAGGUCCUGGGGACGAAAUGUCCUCAACCUAUUCUCAAACUUUAAAUGGGUCAGACGGCAUUGUCACUUAAUUGGACUUUGUCAUUGAAUAAGAGUACCUAGUGGGCCAUUUUUGGUAAGCAGAACUGGCGCUGUGGGAUGAACCAAACGUCUGGUUAAGGUGCCUAAUGCGGUCGCUCAUGAGAUACCAGAAAAGGUGUUGGUUGAUAUAGACAGCAGGACGGUGGCCCUGGAAGUCGGAAUCCGCUAAGGAGUGUGUAACAACUCACCUGCCGAAUCAACCAGCCCUGAAAAUGGAUGGCGCUUUAGCGAUGGACCUAUACCAGACCGACAUAGCAAUUUGAUAUGACCUACCGUAUGCUAUGUCGAGUAGGAGGGUCGCCGUAGUAGCGUAGAAGCUUUUGCC